rnacentral:rRNA from 1 species
CGAACGGUAACAGGAAGCAGCUUGCUGCUUCGCUGACGAGUGGCGGACGGGUGAGUAAUGUCUGGGAAACUGCCUGAUGGAGGGGGAUAACUACUGGAAACGGUGGCUAAUACCGCAUAACGUCGCAAGACCAAAGAGGGGGACCUUCGGGCCUCUUGCCAUCAGAUGUGCCCAGAUGGGAUUAGCUAGUUGGUGAGGUAACGGCUCACCAAGGCGACGAUCCCUAGCUGGUCUGAGAGGAUGACCAGCCACACUGGAACUGAGACACGGUCCAGACUCCUACGGGAGGCAGCAGUGGGGAAUAUUGCACAAUGGGCGCAAGCCUGAUGCAGCCAUGCCGCGUGUAUGAAGAAGGCCUUCGGGUUGUAAAGUACUUUCAGCGGGGAGG